AAUACACACAGUCUACUCCAACUGUAGUCUGCUCCACAGGAGGUAAUACACACAGUCUACUCCAACUGUAGUCUGCUCCACAGGAGGUAAUACAGUCCACUCCAACUGUAGUCUGCUCCACAGGAGGUAACACAGUCCACUCCAACUGUAGUCUGCUUCACAGGAGGUAACACAGUCCACUCCAACUGUAGUCUGCUUCACAGGAGGUAACACAGUCCACUCCAACUGUAGCCGCUCUACAAGAGGUAAUACAGUCCACUCCAACUGUAGUCUGCUCCACAGGAGGUAACACAGUCCACUCCAACUGUAGUCUGCUCCACAGGAGGUAACACAGUCCACUCCAACUGUAGUCUGCUUCACAGGAGGUAACACAGUCCACUCCAACUGUAGUCUGCUUCACAGGAGGUAACACAGUCCACUCCAACUGUAGUCUGCUUCACAGGAGGUAACACAGUCCACUCCAACUGUAGUCUGCUUCACAGGAGGUAACACAGUCCACUCCAACUGUAGUCUGCUUCACAGGAGGUAACACAGUCCACUCCAACUGUAGUCUGCUUCACAGGAGGUAACACAGUCCACUCCAACUGUAGUCUGCUUCACAGGAGGUAACACAGUCCACUCCAACUGUAGUCUGCUUCACAGGAGGUAACACAGUCCACUCCAACUGUAGCCGCUUCACAGGAGGUAACACAGUCCACUCCAACUGUAGUCUGCUUCACAGGAGGUAACACAGUCCACUCCAACUGUAGUCUGCUUCACAGGAGGUAACACAGUCCACUCCAACUGUAGUCUGCUCCACAGGAGGUAACACAGUCCACUCCAACUGUAGUCUGCUCCACAGGAGGUAACACAGUCCACUCCAACUGUAGUCUGCUCCACAGGAGGUAACACAGUCCACUCCAACUGUAGCCGCUUCACAGGAGGUAACACAGUCCACUCCAACUGUAGUCUGUUCCACAGGAGGUAACACAGUCCACUCCAACUGUAGUCUGCUUCACAGGAGGUAACACAGUCCACUCCAAAUGCAGAGCUGACAAUACACAAUACUACAGAGUCCACCUCCUGCAAACCUACCAGGAAAGUAAAAUGCAGUUCACGCCUGCAAAAAUACAACACAGCCUGCUCCAACAGUGCAGAGAGAACACGCAGCCUGCUCCAACAGUGCAUGCAGAGAGAACACGCAGCCUGCUCCAACAGUGCAGAGAGAACACGCAGCCUGCUCCAACAGUGCAGAGAGAACACGCAGCCUGCUCCAACAGUGCAGAGAGAACACGCAGCCUGCUCCAACAGUGCAGAGAGAACACGCAGCCUGCUCCAACAGUGCAGAGAGAACACGCAGCCUGCUCCAACAGUGCAGAGAGAACACGCAGCCUGCUCCAACAGUGCAGAGAGAACACGCAGCCUGCUCCAACAGUGCAGAGAGAACACGCAGCCUGCUCCUCCUGAGA